AGAGUUUGAUCAUGGCUCAGAACGAACGCUGGCGGCGUGGAUAAGACAUGCAAGUCGAACGCUGAUUUCCGGGUAGCAAUAUUCUGAAGUCGGAGUGGCGCAAGGGUGCGUAACACGUGGGUAAUCUGCCGUGAAGUUGGGGAUAACUUGCUGAAAGGCGAGCUAAUACCGAAUGUGAAAAUCGGGAGGCAUCUCUGGAUUUUCAAAGUUGGGGACCGCAAGGCCUGACGCUUCACGAUGAGCCCGCGGCCUAUCAGCUAGUUGGUGAGGUAACGGCUCACCAAGGCUAAGACGGGUAGCUGGUCUGAGAGGACGACCAGCCUCACUGGAACUGAGACACGGUCCAGACACCUACGGGUGGCAGCAGUCGAGAAUUUUUCACAAUGGGCGAGAGCCUGAUGGAGCGACGCCGCGUGGGGGAUGAAGGGCUUCGGCCCGUAAACCCCUGUCAUUUGCGAACAAACCUUUUCACCUAACACGUGGAGAGCUGAUUGUAGCGAAAGAGGAAGGGACGGCUAACUCUGUGCCAGCAGCCGCGGUAAUACAGAGGUCCCGAGCGUUGUUCGGAUUCACUGGGCGUAAAGGGUGCGUAGGUGGUCGGGUAAGUCUGAUGUGAAAUCUCCGAGCUCAACUCGGAAAUGGCAUUGGAUACUAUUCGGCUGGAGGGUUGGAGGGGGGACUGGAAUUCUCGGUGUAGCAGUGAAAUGCGUAGAUAUCGAGAGGAACACCAGUGGCGAAAGCGAGUCCCUGGACAACUCCUGACACUGAGGCACGAAAGCUAGGGGAGCAAACAGGAUUAGAUACCCUGGUAGUCCUAGCCGUAAACGGUGCAUAUUUGCUGUAAAAGGAAUCGACCCCUUUUGUGGCGAAGCUAACGCGAUAAAUAUGCCGCCUGGAAAUACGUCGCAGAUUAAACUCAAGAAUUGACGGGGCCUGCACAAGCGGUGGAGUAUGUGGCUUAAUUCGAUGCAACGCGAAGAACCUUACCUGG
rnacentral:rRNA from 1 species